rnacentral:rRNA from 1 species
UACGAAGGGGGCUAGCGUUGUUCGGAAUUACUGGGCGUAAAGCGCGCGCAGGCGGCUUGGUAAGUUGGGGGUGAAAUCCCUGGGCUCAACCCAGGAAUGGCCUUCAAGACUGCUUGGCUGGAGGACGAGAGAGGUGAGUGGAAUUCCCAGUGUAGAGGUGAAAUUCGUAGAUAUUGGGAAGAACACCGGUGGCGAAGGCGGCGACCUGGUCCUUUUACUGACGCUGAGGCGCGAAAGCGUGGGGAGCAAACAGG